rnacentral:rRNA from 1 species
CACGUAGGGCGCAAGCGUUGUCCGGAAUUAUUGGGCGUAAAGAGCUCGUAGGCGGUCCGUCACGUCCGCUGUGAAAACCCCAGGGCUCAACCCUGGGCUUGCAGUGGAUACGGGCAGACUAGAGGUAGGUAGGGGAGAAUGGAAUUCCCGGUGUAGCGGUGAAAUGCGCAGAUAUCGGGAGGAACACCGGUGGCGAAGGCGGCAUCCUGGACCAAUUCUGACGCUGAGGAGCGAAAGCCAGGGGAGCAAACGGG